rnacentral:rRNA from 1 species
UUUUAUCAGAGAGUUUGAUCCUGGCUCAGGAUGAACGCUGGCGGCGUGCUUAACACAUGCAAGUCGAACGGGAAAUAUUUUAUUGAAACUUCGGUCGAUUUAAUUUAUUUCUAGUGGCGGACGGGUGAGUAACGCGUGGGUAACCUGCCUUAUACUGGGGGAUAACAGCCAGAAAUGACUGCUAAUACCGCAUAAGCGCACAGAACCGCAUGGUUCGGUGUGAAAA